UGAGGAAUAUUGGUCAAUGGGCGGGAGCCUGAACCAGCCAAGCCGCGUGAGGGAGGAAGGCCCUAUGGGUCGUAAACCUCUUUUGUCAGGGAACAAAAGCGAGUAUGUAUACUAGUCUGAGUGUACCUGAAGAAAAAGCAUCGGCUAACUCCGUGCCAGCAGCCGCGGUAAUACGGAGGAUGCGAGCGUUAUCCGGAUUUAUUGGGUUUAAAGGGUGCGUAGGCGGCGGUGCAAGUCAGCGGUAAAAGCCCGGGGCUCAACCCCGGCGAGCCGCUUGAAACUUGCAAGUGCUAGAGAAGGCGAGAGGUACGCGGAAUGCGCAGUGUAGCGGUGAAAUGCUUAGAUAUUGCGCAGAACUCCGAUUGCGAAGGCAGCGUACUGGCGCCUGACUGACGCUGAGGCACGAAAGUGUGGGGAUCGAACAGGAUUAGAUACC
rnacentral:rRNA from 1 species